GAUGAACGCUGGCGGCGUGCUUAACACAUGCAAGUCGAGCGAGAAAAGUUCUUCGGAGCUUUUCUAGCGGCGGACGGGUGAGUAACACGUGGGCAACCUGCCUCAUAGAGGGGAAUAGCCUUCCGAAAGGAAGAUUAAUACCGCAUAAUAUUGUUGAAAGGCAUCUUUUAACAAUCAAAGGAGCAAUCCGCUAUGAGAUGGGCCCGCGGCGCAUUAGCUAGUUGGUGAGGUAACGGCUCACCAAGGCGACGAUGCGUAGCCGACCUGAGAGGGUGAUCAGCCACAUUGGAACUGAGACACGGUCCAGACUCCGACGGGAGGCAGCAGUGGGGAAUAUUGCACAAUGGGGGAAACCCUAAUGGAGCAACGCCGCGUGAGUGAUGAAGGUCUUCGGAUUGUAAAGCUCUGUCUUUAGGGACGAUAAUGACGGUACCUAAGGAGGAAGCCACGGCUAACUACGUGCCAGCCGCCGCCGUAAUAC
rnacentral:rRNA from 1 species